GUAUUUUUGUUAUGGAGCAAAUGAACAGAUAACAAUUGCCAUCCUUUUCCUUUGUUGCUUAGAAACCAAAAAUCACGCAUAUGCAUAUCCGGACCAUAUGUGUUGGUGACCUUUUUGCUUUCUAUUGAUUCAUGAUUUGUUGCAGUGCAGUUGUUUUAUUGGUUUGUUGGUUUCUAUGAUUAAUGCAGUGUGAAAUGAUCAAACUUAGGUAAUACAUUGGUACAUUGGGGCAUCAAGCAGCAACUCCCUCAACUACGUCAAGAAACUUAUCAUUCCUAUUUUUUACAAGGAUGAACAAUGCUGAAGGUGCACAGGGUGAGAAGCGAAAAGGAACGGCAAACAAAAGAUGGACAAAAGAAAUGGAUCAUGUCUUGAUACCAUUACUUGCAGACAUGGCAAGAAGUGGUUUAAAAGUUGACAAAUUCUUCAAGCGCCAGGCAUUUGUCGAAGCAGCUAAUGUCGUGAAUAGUAGGUUCCCUGUCGCUUGCAUGGAUGCCGAUAAUGUGGAGAAUCACAUGCGCACUUUAAAACAAAAAUAUCAAGACAUUAAAAAACUUAUGAACCUCAGUGGUGUUGGAUGGAAUGACACAGAGAAGAAGUUGGUGUUAGAAGAUGAGACCUAUCGUACAUAUGUGGAGCCAAGGAGUAUUUAAACAAGCCUAUACUCUUUUUUGAUGAGCUACGUUUGGUUGCUGGAGAUGAUCACGCUACUGGAGAUUAUGCACGGACCAUCUUUGACCAAUUUGGUGGCACGCCAGGUGAGGAUGAGAGUGCACCUCCACCUAAUACACCAUUAGACAGUGAACCUAUGAAUACAAAAAAUCAAAGACAUGAAGCACUAAGGUCUUUUACGAAUAAGACCACUGCUAGGGUUCCCCGUAGAAUAAGAACCAAUGGUGAAAAUGGUUCAGGAGAAAACAUUGGAGAAAAGAUAGGUGAGUUGGCGGCAUCAAUAGAUAGGACUAGAAAAAAGACAUGGAAAGAAAAACUUACCGAUGUGUUGUGGGACAUGGAAGGUUAUAGUGAUGAUGACAUGGAAAUGGUGUACAAUAAGUUAAUCGACAACAAAAAAGAGGCCGAGAACUUCUACUUGAGAAAGCCAUCUCUCCAGAAAAGAUGGAUAGAUAAUUUUAUUGCUUCCAUGAGAAACUCUAGCCCUUGAAGAGGUCAUCACACUAAGUAUGUAUUUUUGGUUUCUAGUCAUACAACAAAAACUUUAUAGGAGUGAAAGAAUGAAGAAAAGAAUU